AUGUCAUCCUCUAAGAAACACCAACAUUCCUGUAGGAACCUGAAAUUGAACCCACCGGGUCCGGGACUAUUCUCACCAUUUGACUCCCACGUUGCCGCCCUGAUUUCCUCACGGGUGAAUUCAGCAACCAAAAAAGAAUUAUCUUCUGAAGUUAUGCCUCUAACCUGCAAACCACUGAAUAAAGGUCGCUCUUUGAUAGGUUCCACAAAGCGAUUUCUAAAAACCCCAAAGAUCUCGUUGUGGAUCCCCUAG